AUACGAAGGUCCCAAGCGUUAUUCGGAAUCACUGGGCGUAAAGAGUACGUAGGCGGUUUGGUAAGUCAGGUGUGAAAUCCCGAAGCUCAACUUCGGAACUGCAUCCGAUACUGCCAGACUAGAGUAAUGGAGAGGCAGGUGGAAUUCUCGGUGUAGCAGUGAAAUGCGUGGAUAUCGAGAGGAAGACCAAUGGCGAAGGCAGCCUGCUGGACAUUUACUGACGCUGAGGUACGAAGGCUAGGGGAGCGAAAGGGAUUAGAUACCCGUGUAGUCC
rnacentral:rRNA from 1 species